UAGGGAAUCUUCGGCAAUGGACGAAAGUCUGACCGAGCAACGCCGCGUGAGUGAAGAAGGUUUUCGGAUCGUAAAACUCUGUUGUUAGAGAAGAACAAGGACGUUAGUAACUGAACGUCCCCUGACGGUAUCUAACCAGAAAGCCACGGCUAACUACGUGCCAGCAGCCGCGGUAAUACGUAGGUGGCAAGCGUUGUCCGGAUUUAUUGGGCGUAAAGCGAGCGCAGGCGGUUUCUUAAGUCUGAUGUGAAAGCCCCCGGCUCAACCGGGGAGGGUCAUUGGAAACUGGGAGACUUGAGUGCAGAAGAGGAGAGUGGAAUUCCAUGUGUAGCGGGGAAAUGCGUAGAUAUAUGGAGGAACACCAGUGGCGAAGGCGGCUCUAUGGUCUGUAACUGACGAUGAGGCUCGAAAGCGUGGGGAGCAAACAGG
rnacentral:rRNA from 1 species